CACACACAUGGUAAUGUAAAUGUCACAUCCAUGGCUGCAAUUCCCCAUCAGUAAAGAUUUUCCAGGAGCACAAAAGUACAUUACCUGACAGCUACUUCUGCAAUACUACCUGAAAGUGACCUGCCAGUAAAUCUGAAAGAGAUCCCAAAGAUGAGUUUAGACAAAAUACAAAGAAUUCCAGGGGAUCCAAAUGAGGCAGCUCAUAAAUUUAUUGCAGUCUUAUGGCAUACCAUUCAGAUUGAUUUAUGGGAUACAGCUCAGAUUUCUUAUAGCUGAAUUACCAAGUACAAACCAGGUUUUAGUUCAUUUCCAGAGCAGAAGCCAUUGAUUUCUUCACAGUUCAAUUUUACAUCCACAGUCACCAGUGAGAAAGAGCUCAUCUGCCUUGGGAUAUUCCAGGUUUCUUGAAUACUUGGCUGGCUUUUUAUUUCAUAUCUGUCAGAAAAUUUAUAUUGCGGCAGCUGUUUCUCAGCAGUGCUCAUACUUCUGCAAGGACUUCUCAGUUUCCAAUGCUUCGGCUGAGAGGAGGUGCAGAAGAAGCUGGGAGGGAACACAGCCAGGACAACUGGACCAAAGUGGCUGAAGGGAUAUUCCACACCAUGCCCAGGAUAUAAACUGGGCAGA